rnacentral:rRNA from 1 species
UAGGGAAUCUUCGGCAAUGGACGAAAGUCUGACCGAGCAACGCCGCGUGAGUGAAGAAGGUUUUCGGAUCGUAAAACUCUGUUGUUAGAGAAGAACAAGGACGUUAGUAACUGAACGUCCCCUGACGGUAUCUAACAAGAAAGCCACGGCUAACUACGUGCCAGCAGCCGCGGUAAUACGUAGGUGGCAAGCGUUGUCCGGACUUAUUGGGCGUAAAGCGAGCGCAGGCGGUUUCUUAAGUCUGAUGUGAAAGCCCCCGGCUCAACCGGGGAAGGUCAUUGGAAACUGGGAGACUUGAGUGCAGAAGAGGAGAGUGGAAUUCCAUGUGUAGCGGUGAAAUGCGUAGAUAUAUGGAGGAACACCAGUGGCGAAGGCGGCUCUCUGGUCUGUAACUGACGCUGAGGCUCGAAAGCGUGGGGAGCAAACAGG